AUUUAGGCUUUCUUUAUUGCAAGUUCUGUUUAAUUAAGAUUUUCUUAUCCCCUGCUAAUAGCUUGCUAGACCCUGCAAGAGCCUCCUGUAUGUGAUUAAAGUUCAAUUUAGAGAUUGAGAUACAAUUAUUUAAGGUAAAUUACAUCUGUUUGAAAGUGAAACCAGUUUUUUUUUCAUGCAGGCUCUGUCAAUCAUAGCCAGGGGAGGUGUGGCUAGUGCUGCAUAAUCAGAAA